rnacentral:rRNA from 1 species
AGAGUUUGAUUCUGGCUCAGAACGAACGCUGGCGGCGUGGAUAAGACAUGCAAGUCGAACGAGAGAAUUGCUAGCUUGCUAAUAAUUCUCUAGUGGCGCACGGGUGAGUAACACGUGAGUAACCUGCCCCCGAGAGCGGGAUAGCCCUGGGAAACUGGGAUUAAUACCGCAUAGUAUCGAAAGAUUAAAGCAGCAAUGCGCUUGGGGAUGGGCUCGCGGCCUAUUAGUUAGUUGGUGAGGUAACGGCUCACCAAGGCGAUGACGGGUAGCCGGUCUGAGAGGAUGUCCGGCCACACUGGAACUGAGACACGGUCCAGACACCUACGGGUGGCAGCAGUCGAGAAUCAUUCACAAUGGGGGAAACCCUGAUGGUGUGACGCCGCGUGGGGGAAUGAAGGUCUUCGGAUUGUAAACCCCUGUCAUGUGGGAGCAAAUUAAAAAGAUAGUACCACAAGAGGAAGAGACGGCUAACUCUGUGCCAGCAGCCGCGGUAAUACAGAGGUCUCAAGCGUUGUUCGGAAUCACUGGGCGUAAAGCGUGCGUAGGCUGUUUCGUAAGUCGUGUGUGAAAGGCGCGGGCUCAACCCGCGGACGGCACAUGAUACUGCGAGACUAGAGUAAUGGAGGGGGAACCGGAAUUCUCGGUGUAGCAGUGAAAUGCGUAGAUAUCGAGAGGAACACUCGUGGCGAAGGCGGGUUCCUGGACAUUAACUGACGCUGAGGCACGAAGGCCAGGGGAGCGAAAGGGAUUAGAUACCCCUGUAGUCCUGGCAGUAAACGGUGCACGCUUGGUGUGCGGGGAAUCGACCCCCUGCGUGCCGGAGCUAACGCGUUAAGCGUGCCGCCUGGGGAGUACGGUCGCAAGAUUAAAACUCAAAGAAAUUGACGGGGACCCGCACAAGCGGUGGAGUAUGUGGUUUAAUUCGAUGCAACGCGAAGAACCUUACCUGGGCUUGACAUGUAAUGAACAACAUGUGAAAGCAUGCGACUCUUCGGAGGCGUUACACAGGUGCUGCAUGGCCGUCGUCAGCUCGUGUCGUGAGAUGUUUGGUUAAGUCCAGCAACGAGCGCAACCCCUGUUGCCAGUUACCAGCACGUGAAGGUGGGGACUCUGGCGAGACUGCCCAGAUCAACUGGGAGGAAGGUGGGGACGACGUCAGGUCAGUAUGGCCCUUAUGCCCAGGGCUGCACACGUACUACAAUGCCCAGUACAGAGGGGGCCGAAGCCGCGAGGCGGAGGAAAUCCUGAAAACUGGGCCCAGUUCGGACUGUAGGCUGCAACCCGCCUACACGAAGCCGGAAUCGCUAGUAAUGGCGCAUCAGCUACGGCGCCGUGAAUACGUUCCCGGGUCUUGUACACACCGCCCGUCACAUCAUGGAAGCCGGUCGCACCCGAAGUAUCUGAAGCCAACCGCAAGGAGGCAGGGUCCUAAGGUGAGACUGGUAACUGGGAUGAAGUCGUAACAAGGUAGCCGUAGGGGAACCUGCGG